rnacentral:sRNA from 1 species
CCCGGCACUCCCGUGCCGGGCUAUCCCAUCCCGCCCCUGCGGGGCU